AGAUUGAACGCUGGCGGCAGGCCUAACACAUGCAAGUCGAGCGGUAGAGAGGUGCUUGCAUCUCUUGAGAGCGGCGGACGGGUGAGUAAUGCCUAGGAAUCUGCCUAGUGGUGGGGGAUAACGUUCGGAAACGGACGCUAAUACCGCAUACGUCCUACGGGAGAAAGCGGGGGACCUUCGGGCCUCGCGCCAUUAGAUGAGCCUAGGUCGGAUUAGCUAGUUGGUGAGGUAAUGGCUCACCAAGGCGACGAUCCGUAACUGGUCUGAGAGGAUGAUCAGUCACACUGGAACUGAGACACGGCCCAGACUCCUACGGGAGGCAGCAGUGGGAAUUUUGGACAAUGGGGAAACCCUGAUCCAGCCAUCCCGCGUGUGCGAUGAAGGCCUUCGGUUGUAAGCACUUUGGCAGGAAGAAACGGCGUAGCCCGUAACUACGGACGUCGACUGACGGUACCUGCGAGAAUAAGCACCGGCUAACACGUGCCAGC
rnacentral:rRNA from 1 species